AUCUUAUCCAGAGUGGUGGAGGGACUGGCCCUGUGAAACCCGACAACCGGCAUUAAUUAAAUGUAUCGGUGUCAAUUCCUGCAGAAUAAGUUUUUAUUCUGAUAGAUAAGAA
rnacentral:ncRNA from 2 species